rnacentral:rRNA from 1 species
GAUGAACGCUGGCGGCGUGCCUAAUACAUGCAAGUCGAGCGAACAGAUGAGGAGCUUGCUCCUCUGACGUUAGCGGCGGACGGGUGAGUAACACGUGGAUAACCUACCUAUAAGACUGGGAUAACUUCGGGAAACCGGAGCUAAUACCGGAUAAUAUAUUGAACCGCAUGGUUCAAUAGUGAAAGACGGUUUUGCUGUCCCUUAUAGAUGGAUCCGCGCCGCAUUAGCUAGUUGGUAAGGUAACGGCUUACCAAGGCAACGAUGCGUAGCCGACCUGAGAGGGUGAUCAGCCACACUGGAACUGAGACACGGUCCAGACUCCUACGGGAGGCAGCAGUAGGGAAUCUUCCGCAAUGGGCGAAAGCCUGACGGAGCAACGCCGCGUGAGUGAUGAAGGUCUUCGGAUCGUAAAACUCUGUUAUUAGGGAAGAAAAAAUGUGUAAGUAACUAUGCACGUCUUGACGGUACCUAAUCAGAAAGCCACGGCUAACUACGUG